ensembl:lincRNA uncharacterized LOC106148075
UGCUUUGACCUGACCUCUUUUAAUGUCUCCUUUUCACAGUGUACUGAAAUUCUUCAACAGAUCUCACCCUAUGUUAUCAGUUUCAGACCAUGAGGCUUUUCCAGAAUCAUUGGGGCAGCUGUCUUGACCAUUCUUGAUGGAAGCUUGGAGUCGCUUUCUGAAAUGGACAGAUACUUGGAGUGUUCUGAACUGGAGGGUCCAGAUGUUGACCUGCCAGGAGCAGACAAGGAGCUACAUGGCCUGUAUGCAACAUACCCAAAUUCAGUCCAACCUGGGCAACUUCCACAGAAGCUAGAAGAGUUUAAGUAACAUGCACCAAGACCAGCUGAUUAUAACCAAGAUGAUUUGGUGGAAUGUCAGUUGGAGAGACAGACAUCUGUAUAUCCUUUUCCUGUUCUACCACUUUUA